rnacentral:ncRNA from 2 species
GCUAUAAUCAUUGAGUCUUAUCGUAUAUCUUCACAGGGAACAGCGUGAAGAGUUUCUACCCAAUGGCUAUAUAUUGGACUACGAUAGAAUUCAAGGGACAA